rnacentral:tRNA from 1 species
GGAACUGUAGCUCAGUGGUAGAGCAUCUGCUUUGCAUACAGAAAGUCCCAAGUUCAAUCCCUGGCAUCCCCA